GAUUUUUCCGAUCAUGAUAAGGAGCACAGGGAGGGUGUGACCGGUCGGCAGAGGAUGCUCAUUCCUCCAUGGCACCUGAUCCCACCUCUAAAUUUUGAGAACUUUCUGUGAGAGAAGAAGGGGAGAUUAUGUACAGAGUGUUUGACUGAAUUUCUUGGAAGGAACUAAUUGUAACAAUAAGAUAGAGAAGUAUUGGUUUUGGUAUACCUGUAUGUACGUGCAGAGUCUGCAUUUGCAAUAUUUUGUCUGUGGUUUGGGAUGUUCAAGCUUCUAAAUUCCAGUUCAAGCUUCCAAAUUCCAUUACAAAAAUAAGCACUUAUACAGCAAAUUGAGAUAUUCUCAACACUUCAUGUAAUUAGGACCGCCAGUUCAUCAUACAACAGCGGCAACAUCUACUAGUUCUUCAACCCCUGCAAGUACGAUUCUAAGCACCGGGACAGUCUCUGUCGGAACCAUUGGCGUAUCUUCUACGGAAUCAACGUCUGCAUCACCUGCUGGGACUUCUGAAAUAGUAACUCCUUCACCAUAUGGAGAUUGUAGAAAUAAUCCAACUAUUGAUUGUCGUAUGUACAACUUCAACAUGACCUGUGAGAUUGAUGGGAUGUAUUAUCCAUGGGCAAAAAAGAACUGUCCAUUAUACUGCGGUUACUGUCUAGUUCCAACACAAUCUGUGGAAUGUAAAGACAAACUUCCAACUUGUGCCGAGUAUCAGAGCGAUUUGUGCACCAAUCGUCUUUUCAGACUAUUCAGAGAAGAGAAUUGUCGGAAAUUCUGUAAAAUAUGUGAAGGUAUUGAUUAUGUUGUGUCUCCAUUUGUUGUCGGAUGAAAUGGAAACAUGAAAUAAUGAUUGUCUUUGAAAUAAAUAAAUACGAUUUCAAUGCUUAA